GACGAACGCUGGCGGCGUGCCUAAUACAUGCAAGUAGAACGCUGAAGGAGGAGCUUGCUUCUCUGGAUGAGUUGCGAACGGGUGAGUAACGCGUAGGUAACCUGCCUGGUAGCGGGGGAUAACUAUUGGAAACGAUAGCUAAUACCGCAUAAUAGUAGAUGUUGCAUGACAUUUGCUUUAAAGGUGCAAUUGCAUCACUACCAGAUGGACCUGCGUUGUAUUAGCUAGUUGGUGGGGUAACGGCCCACCAAGGCGACGAUACAUAGCCGACCUGAGAGGGUGAUCGGCCACACUGGGACUGAGACACGGCCCAGACUCCUACGGGAGGCAGCAGUAGGGAAUCUUCGGCAAUGGACGGAAGUCUGACCGAGCAACGCCGCGUGAGUGAAGAAGGUGUUCGGAUCGUAAAGCUCUGUUGUAAGAGAAGAACGAGUGUGAGAGUGGAAAGUUCACACUGUGACGGUAUCGUACCAGAAAGGGACGGCUAACUACGU
rnacentral:rRNA from 1 species